rnacentral:rRNA from 1 species
CGGAUUGUAGGCUGCAACCCGCCUGCAUGAAGUUGGAAUUGCUAGUAAUCGCGGAUCAGCAUGCCGCGGUGAAUACGUUCCCGGGGAUUGUACACACCGCCCGUCACACCAUGAGAGUCGGGAACACCCGAAGUCGGUAGCCUAACCGUAAGGAGGGCGCCGCCGAAGGUGGGAUUGAUGACUGGGGUGAAGUCGUAACAAGGUAGC